ACGCACGCUGGCGGCGUGCUUAACCCAUGCAAGUCGCACGGAAAGGCCCUGCUUGCAGGGUACUCGAGUGGCGAACGGGUGAGUAACACGUGGGUGAUCUGCCCUGCACUUCGGGAUAAGCUUGGGAAACUGGGUCUAAUACCGGAUAGGAGCCAUCUUUAGUGUGGUGGUUGGAAAGUUUUUUCGGUGUAGGAUGAGCUCGCGGCCUAUCAGCUUGUUGGUGGGGUAAUGGCCUACCAAGGCGGCGACGGGUAGCCGGCCUGAGAGGGUGUACGGCCACAUUGGGACUGAGAUACGGCCCAGACUCCUACGGGAGGCAGCAGUGGGGAAUAUUGCACAAUGGGCGCAAGCCUGAUGCAGCGACGCCGCGUGGGGGAUGAAGGCCUUCGGGUUGUAAACUCCUUUCGCUAGGGACGAAGCUUUUUUGUGACGGUACCUAGAUAAGAAGCACCGGCUAACUACGUG
rnacentral:rRNA from 1 species